GCUUAGGACAACGAGUGAUCGAUUCUACUUCCUUUGUUGUUGUUGCUUCAUACGGCGAAGCAGGGGAUCUGGAUCAGGGGUCGUAAUGGUUCUUGUGACGACAUGUCUAGCGCUUGCGCUCCCUGCACUCUUGCUUCUACUUGCAAGAUAAGUUCAAGACAAGUCUGACCUAAUAACUACUAUCGCCUUCUACCCAAUGUCGAGCCUUCAACGGGGACAUCGGAGGGGACACCAUCGCACGAAAGCCCAGGCAAAAGUUGAGCCCGCCAUGAACGCCGAUGAGAUUCUCGACCAAGGUUCACCUGGCUUUGCGUCCUCCAAUAACAAGAUGCAUGCACCUAUCAAGGUUAGCUGGAAGUUAUCAACUUACUUUGUAAAAGGCUUCGGAUUUUUAAAUUUUGUAGGAACCCCUUUUGAACAGAACUUUUUAGAUAGUCACUUCCAAGACCAAAAGAAAACAUGUUGACAGAUGAACCCGCUUGUGUAGAAUGCUUUGAGGAUAUUCAUACAAAAUCGUUUGUUAGUGUGCUUGCUUGACUGGGUUAAUAAAAAGAAGCAUGCAACAGUAAAGGAAAGAAGCUAUUGCCCAUGUACAGAUCAAGUGAUUUUAGUCUGUCUUUCUGGAGAAGCCUAAACUGAAAAUAACUAGCUUUAAGUACUUUUCAUUCAUAUGCAUUCCCUACUCAGGGAAUAAAUGUCUUGCGUAUGUGUGUGUACUGAAAUUGUAACUCACUAUAGUAAUUCGUAAUUUGUUCCAUUUUUGUUCAUCUAAUGAUUUUCUUGUUAUUUCCUUUUGAAUGCUUAGCCAUGAUGUGUCUCACUCGUGUGGAACUCAAGAUUUGAUAGUAGCACAUAACUCAUGAUUUGACAAACAGUUAAAUUCCUAUAUUUUAGUAUAUCUUGUUAUCUUUCUUAUUUCUGUUCCUGAACUAAACUUCGCCCUUUUCUACAAAAUUAUAAGAGAAAUGGUGGUUUGGACAAAUGAUUAUGGUUGCUUAUUUAUUUUCUUGGUGUUAGAUUACUAAUGUAGAGAAAUAUAAUUAUAUGAUUUUACCAUUAUUAUCAUAUGAGGAAGUGAUAAGUUCAGAAAAUGACAAUAGUUUAAAAGAAGUAUUAUGGUGUAGUGCAGUAAUAAUUUUAAUUUAAAAUUGCAGACCUUGCAUCAUAUUUUUGUUGUGUAUGUGGGCAGUGUGUUCAAGUUGAUCUGGAACAAUUUGAAGUGUUUCCUCGACACAAAAUCUUUAGCCAAGGUUUUCUUAAGCACCUGUAUAGAAGUUUAAAAUUGUAAUUGUUUCAGGUUCUUCGCCACAUUAUGUAUGCUUUGUUAUUUUUUUUAAUAAUUGGACCUAUUUGCUAUGUGGAACAUGUAGCAUUUACUUGAUCAUAAUAUAAUUCAAUAUUUGACCACGGUCUUUUGGCUCUUGCUUUCAACAUAUGCAGUAUCGGUUAGUCAUUUUCUUGACACAACACUUUAGGCAACGGCUCAGACUUCUUGAGCCAUUCUCUGUUUAUUGUCGAUACAUCUUUCAAAAUAAACGAACAAUGUUUCCUCCAUGUAUGAAUGACACAAUGACUUUGAAUUUUUUUCCAGUCAAUUGAUCAUCCUAAGCCUCAUCCUGUAUUCAAUACAUUUAUGUUCCAUUGCUAACUAACGUUCGUUUGUGAUGUCUUUCUUGGGAUGGAAAUGUUCCUCGGAACCAUGACGAACAUCAAAGGAGGAACAACCUUUUUCUUUUAUUUUCUGUUGCCUCUACUAUAUUGUUGCUGCCACAAAGAUUUACCUGGACAUGGAGCCAUCAUGAUGUGUUUAAAAAUGAUUACAUUAUCCUUUUCUAACCUGAUGGUGUUAGAAACAUCUUAGCAUUCGAGCAGGUUUAAUUCAUUGUUUAUUAAUUCCUAUUAUGUAAAAAAAUCAUUGAUCAUUGCUUGACAUAAUUUUUUUUAUAUGCAAUCAUGUGCAUGGGCGAAGAACCUGGAUGUUAUUUACAAGUUUUGG